UCAUUUUUAUUGUGAUUCUUAUGCCAGAGCUGAUGGAUAAGUGCAUGUUACUUUUCAUGCUACAGUUUUGAUGGAGAGUUCCAGCUUUUCAGACAGCACAAAAGCUGAAUUGGCCACCUUAAUGGACAGGACCUAUGAGAGAAAGCUGCCUGUCAGCUCUUUGACAAUAUCCCGGUUUGUUGACAACAUUUUUUCACAAGAGGAAGUGGAUCGAGCUGAAUAUUACCUUUACAAGUGUC